UUCAAUAUAUUCUUUUGAAAUACUUAAUUGUUGAAAAAGGCCUCUCAGAGGUCCCUCUCUCCCCACUAAAAGGAAACAUAUCCCCCAGGGGCCAGCUUUGAACUCGCAAAUUGACUCAUUCAAAUCAUUAGACUAGAGCACUUAGCUAGUGUUAAGAUCUGUGCUAACCAAAUUGGAACACAGAGAUAAAUAAACUGUGGCUCUUGUCCUCAAAAUGGCAAUUAACCAGCAGGAGCAAUAGAUCUGAACUGAGAAUUACGAGAGAAUAUGAUAGAUGCUAGACAGUAAAGCCAGAAGGUCAGGGCCAGGUGAUUUUGCUCACCAUUUUAUCUCCAAGCACCUACAACCUGGCAGGCACUCAGUAAAUAGUGGCGGGGUGGAAACGUGAAAAGACGGAGACAGGAACAGUGCAUCGCAGGGCGGCAGAGGGGAGGUGACUAACUGAGGGAGGCGCGAUGGUGAGAAGACUGGAGUCACUCCAGGGAGGGAAUGACACCUGGUGUGGAUUGUGAUGUCGGAACACAGCAGACAGAUGGAAAGGAAAGAGCAUUUCUGAGGGAGGAACAGCAUGAACACAUACAACAUUUUAUCGAGCAGGAAGUAGCACCUGGGGGCCAGUGAUGAGAGCCAGAAGAUGAGAUCCACUUGCAGGCUCAACGCAUAAAUGCCCGUAAGUCUCAUGUUGGCAUCCUUUAGAGGGAGUUGGUGGUAGUGAAAGAUGGUCCAGUAAAUGAUGAAUUCUCCACCUGAGGAAGAAGUGGAGCAGAGACCAUCCCUCCUGGCGCUGGACCUUAAUCCUUCCUGCUGCACUAAUUGGCCAAGAUCUGGGGGCCGGGAACAAUCUGAACAGCACUUCAUGCUGGGUAGUCAUUGAAGAUGACUAUAUCUCAUACCCAAAUGCUAGCAGCUGCUCAGCUGAUAUCUGAAAAGGACCAUGUCUCCAUUGAAAACCUUUCUGAGGAAUCUCUCAUCUCCAGAGAAGAGCUGGUUUUUGAAGAGGAUGAUAUGACCAAAUCUACCAGGAGACCAAAGCGUCAAAGGCCCGAGCUGCUUCACCCCAUCCCCCAGGAGGACAGUAUCAGAAAUGCUGCCUCUCAGUCAGAAGAGACUACAGAACUCACUCCCAGGGCUGCAACCACCUCAGAGGGAAAACUGGCCAAGCUCGGCCAUGAAAUCGGGAAGAAUGUGGACAAAACAGUAAAAGAAACCAUGAGCUAUCUGAAAAACCUACUCCCUCAUGCCUAUGAAGUCAUAAGGCCCUAAUGAUAAUAAGGCCCAGUCCCUGCCAAAGCUGGUGUCUACGGCACCCAAACCCUCCUUGCCCUGACCACCAUCUCUCAGCUCCCCACGUCCCUUAUUAAAGCGUUGCAUCCCAGUCUGGCUCUGUGGUGGCUUUGUCGGGCCAGGAGGGAAGGCGGAGGCCCCCACUCCGCUAGGAUUCUUCCUGAGUUACCCCAUCGCUCUAAUUUUAAACCUCCCCUCCUCAGCUUACAACCUGUUCAAGUCUCCACGUCCCAAAAUAUCCUCUGUGAGGUCUUGACUCCCCUCAAGCUGCCCCUCCUCUUCAUCCACACUGCCUCCCUGCUCCCUCACCCCCUGCACCCGUCAUCCCCUGCAAUCUGCAUUUUCAUGCCCUCCAGCAACUGUUCCCCCCAACAUCACUGACAGCAACAAGCCCGGUGGCUAUUUCUGGUCCCUACUCCUCUCUUCAUGGUCUCUGCAGAACUGGACACGAUUACCCUUCCUAGAAAGUUUCCCCGCACUGACCUCCCAAUGUGCUGCACUCUACUGGUUCUCCAAGCCCCCCAUUUCCUUCCUGGCACAUUUUCUGACCAUGCACUCUAUGCUCCCAGGGUCCCAUCCUGUGCCCUCUCAUCUUCUCUCCACCUUCCUUCCUCUACAUCCCCAUUUGCCAAGACUUCAGCUUCACCUCAGGGUGGAUGGGGUCUACCCAUUUACCCACCACCACACAACCACC